rnacentral:lncRNA from 10 species
GGGGUGGCGGGGCGGCGGGGUGACGGGGCACGAGGCCGGGAUUCCACCGCAGGACUCCGAAGAGGUGCGCCUAUGCUUGGCUGGGGCUGAGGUCACCAAGAGUCCUCUCGGAGGGACGUUACUACACGCGCUGGCGAGGCCCAGGAGUCGUGGUGCGAGGGGUACUAUCUGUGAAACGAGGGCUGCCUGUCCCAGCAGCCAGCUUUGUACAGAGACGUCCCGGAGCCACGAGAGAGUAACGGCUAACCCGGGGGAGGGGGUGGCGAGGGUGAUUCCAGGCACUUUGUGAAGAAACGAGCUAUGGCGAGGGAAGAAUCCACUUUGAAGAGCGGCCCCCGCCCUGCCCGAUACGUUACUUCCGGGGCGGGGCGGGCAGAGGGGCCCGGAUGUGCCGCCGCUUUUUAGUUUCUGAGGCGCCGGCGGUGUUCCUGGUAGCGUCAGCCUCCUGGCUUUUCCUUUUCCUGGACGCUUCAGGGCUCCGCGGCCUGCGCUAGACUGGAGGGUCCGCGUCACUCUCGCCCUCCUGCUUUCCGCGCUCUCACCCGCUCCCGCCUCCUGAGGGCACGACUUGUGGAGGAGCGCGGGCGGCGGGGCGUGAGCGAGCUGCCUCUGCCGCCAUCUUAGAGAAGGCGAGCGUGGGGUGUGCGUGGGCGCGAGUCGGCCUCCCGCGGUGCCGCCGCAGCGUGGCGCGGAGAGGCAGGGGCAUCCAGUGGUUCAAGGUUACAAUAAGCUGUGAUCGUGCCACUGCAUUCUACCUGGGAUGACAGAGUGGGACCCUGUGCCACAGAGUGAGACCCUGUCUCAAAAAAAAAAAAACUAUGUAAAUCCAAGAAAAAAAGAAAACAGCUCCUGUUGCCUUUUGCCUCUCAUCCAGAAAGGUAUCCAUUUGCCUUUCUAAUAUCUCUUCAUCCUGUCAGGCCACAAAUGGAGACGACUCACCUGUAUUGUACCUCUCCAAGUUCUGGAAAGUCGAUGGAGGGUUUACUCAGAACUUCAAUCUAUCCAGAACUGAGUUUUGUUUAUGGUGUGUGCCAGGCUAACAUGGUAUUUUGGACCAAUCCCCUUGCUGAGGACAACCAAAAAGAUUGGAUGAAGUAUAAAAAGCACUUACUUGAAAGCAUCAAAGACGUCCAAGAUAGUGAGGAAGUUUAAAGUCAAGAUCUAGGAAAAGACAAGAAACUAGAGAAAGAAACCCAGCCGUAAAAUCACUUUUUUUCCCCCCUGCGGGCUUCUGCCAAGUCUGGGGAAGCAGCUGCAAAGCUAAACUAUAUUUUUUGAUGAUUCCUCAGAGCCGGACAAACAGAAGUCAGAAACUAAAACCUGCCAGGAAUAGGGAUUCAGGAGUAGGGAUUUAAUAACUCAAGCCCCCUUCGAGCUGAGAAUCUGAAAGGCCACACUCUCAAUAUGAGGAGUAGCUGCUAGGAAACCAGCCCUGGCACAGAAUUGUAGUCAGUUUUGCAUCAUUUAACAGUACAAGUAAACUUCAACUCUGACAUUAUAUUAAGAUAUUUCUGGAAUGAUAACACACACUGCUAUUUGCAGCAGCAAAUGAAUAUCCUCUCAAGAGAAAGACAUCAUCAUAACAGGCCUCAGCACUUCCUCCAUAUGACUUAUAAAAUAUAAUUUCCAUCAUACAAUGAAAAAUAAGGGUUUACAAGGCAACAAGAUCACUGAAUGAGUAACAGAAGACAGAGAAGCUACAAAAAAAGCCUCCAAAACAUGAAUUAUUGAAAUGAUCAGAUAUGGUUCACAAAAUAACGAUGCUUUUUACAUUUAUGAAAUAAAUUCCAAGCUUAAAAACAUCCGUGAAAAGGAAACUCUAAAAUUUAAUGUGACAUAUUAAGAAAAAAAUCCAAAAAUAUAAUACUCAAAAUUAAGAUGGGCUUAAGAGCAAAUGAAAUGUAGCUAACAUUUUUAAAUGGAAGACAAGAAGAAAACAUCCUCCAGAAUGCAGCACACAGAAAUAAAAGGGAAGAAUUGGAAAAGAGUGGAUAAGAGGCAUAAGUGGUCAGUGACAAGUUGUAGCCCAGAAAGUGUGAAGGGAAUGGGACAGAUAUAAAAUUGGAAGAAAUAACAGCUCUGAAUUUUUCAAAAGUAAAAACGAUAUCAAUCUACAACUUUAAGAAUCUCCAUAUAUCCUAAGCAAAAUAAAUUAUAAGAAACUCACACCCAGACAUUGCAGCAAAACUUCAGACAACAAUAGACAGAGACAAAAAUCUUAAAGCAUCAGAAAAGAAGCAGUUACUUUCAAAGGAAGAACAGUUAGACUGAGAACUGACUUCUCAAUAGUAACAAAGGAAGCCAGCGAGCAAUGGAAGGGUUUUCAAUUAACACUGAAGUUUGAUAAGGCAAAAAACAAAAACAAAAACAAAAAAACAUGUUGUUACUUGUAGUUAAAUUACUUUAAAAAAUUGAAAAAUUACAACUGUGAAGAUAGUACAGACAAAAAUUGGAAUGAUAAAAAAAUCCAAAUAGAACAGUUGGGAUAAGUAGCACAAAAUAAGAUGAUAAAUUUAACUCAAAUAUAUCAGUAAUUACAUUGAAUAUAAAAGGAUCAAAAACUCAAUUUGAAAGCAAAAUGUGCAAAUUCGAUUGAAAACAAAAGAAAAUGCAAUUAUGUACUGUUUAUAAAAACUUAUCUAAAAUAUAAGGAUAUAGAAAAUUUGAGAGUAAAAAGAAAAAAGAAUCCUUUAGACACCAACCCAAAGAAAUCAGCUAUAGCUAUACUAAUAUACCGUUUUUAUAUAAUAAAUACAGUAUAAUAAACUCUAUAGAUAAAUACAUCUCUACAUAAUGAUAAAAUGUCCUAUUUACCAUGAGGAUUUAAAAUUUGCACACAACUAAUAACAAGGCCUCAAAAUAUGUGAGGGAAACAUUGACAUAAUUAAAUGAAAAAUAAAUCCACAAUCAUAGUGAGACAUUUUUAUUAUGACUCAGUAACUUACAGAAAAAUAAAACAAAAAAGAAGGAACAUACAAGAUUUAAAUAACGUGAUUAACAAAAUUGACCUAAUAGACACAGCUGCAGAAAACUUAUUCUUUUCAAGCAUGCACAGUCACAAAAUUCUCAGUAGAAUAUGUUUUCUAAUCCAAUGAAGUUAUACUAGAUAUUAAUAAAAAUUAAUUUGGAAAUGAAGAAAUAUACUUCUAAAUAACUAAUGGGUAAAAGAAGAAAUCACAAUGGAGAUUAGAAAUAAUUUGAACUAAAUAGUGAUAAAAAUACACCAAAUCAAAGCUUGUGGACAGCAGCUAAUGCAGUACUGUACUUAAUUAUGUUAGAGAAGAAGAAAGGCAAAAAAAUCAAUGAUCUAAGCAUCCUUGUAAAGAUAUUAUUAAAGAACAGCAAACCAACCCCAGAUAAAUAAGAAAUAAAAAUGAAUAAUGAUUUGGGCAGACGUUAAAAAAAUAAAAUAAACAUACAAUAGAGAGGAUCAGCAAAGCCAAAAGUUAGUUCCUUGGAAAAGUUGAUAGAACAAAUAAAGCCUUGGCAGAAUUGAUCCAGAAAAGGAGAAAGAAGGCCCAUUAAUCAAUAAGAAGAAUGAAAAAAGGAUAUUGCUACAGAUUCUACAGAUAUUAAGAUGAAAAGAGGAUGCUAUGAGCAAGUUUAUGUCAACAAAUUUAAACAUUUAGAUGAAAUGGAGAAAUUCUUAGGCAAAUUAUUUAAGAAAUGGAGACUGUUAAUAGGCCCAUAAAACUGACACAAUGAUUAAAAUCCUCUCCACAAAUAGAACUCUAAACCCACCCAGAUGAUUUUAAUGGUAAGUUCUAUCAACUUUAAGGAAGAAAUUAUUACAGGUUUAAAAACUUUAAAAAAUGGGUGCAGUCCUAAAAUCACUUUGUAAUGCUAGCAUAAUCUUGAUAAGAAAUGCUAACAAAUGCAAUAACAGAAGGAAAAGCUACCAGCCAUUUUCAUUCAUGAAUAUAGAUGCAAAAGUUUUAAAUAAAAUAUAAGAAAGCAUUAUGACCAGGUUAUAUCUUCCCGGGAAUAUAAGAUACAAUAUCAUCAAAUUUAACAUUGAUUCAUAAUAAAAAUUUGUUAAAAAAUGAUGCAGAAAGAAAAGAAAUCCUUAUAACAUUCUUAGAAUAAACAGUUGAAAGUGUUUCCUCUAUGAUCAGUAAGAGGGCAAAUGUACUCUCUUUUCAACAUUAUGCUUUUUAACAUAACUUGCUGGUGUAGCAAAGCAAGAAAGAAAAUAAAGGAUUGGAUAAGUGCCCAUCAACUAACGAGUGGGUAAAGAAAAUGUGGUAUAUAUACACCAUGGAAUACUAUUCAGCAAUAAAAAGAAAUGAAAUGUCUUUUGCAGCAACUUGGGUAGAGUUGGAGGCUAUUAUUCUAAGUGAAGUAACUCAGUAACAAAGAUCGCAUGUUCUCACUUAUAAAUGGGAGCUAAGUUAAGAGAACACAAAGACAUAAGAAUGAUGCAAUGGACUUUGAGGCCUUGGAGGGGAAGGUUGGGAAAGGGGUGAAGGAUUAAAAAAACUACAUAUUGGGUAACUGGAGAAGUAUCCUAUGAACAUAUAUAUUGGAAACUGAAAAUGUAAUUAUUCAAAUUAUAAUUCUUUCAAAAUUUAUAUAUAGAUUCAAUGGAAUCUCAAUGAAAAUCUCAACAGAUUGGUUAAUGGAACUAGAUAAGCUGAUUCUAAAAUUUUAUUUUUAAAUAUAAAAGGCUAAAAAUAGCCAAGAUUUUCUUAAAGAUGCAUAACAAAGUCGGGAUUCAUUCUAUAUGAUAUCCAAUGAGUAUGGCAUCCAAUGAGUAUAGACAAACAGGGCAGGACAGAGGGAGUGAAUGAACAGACACACAUAUAUUUGGACACUUGAAUGUGGAUAAAAGAGGCAAUGUAGGAAGGAAGGGAAAAGAUAGUCUUUUCAAUAGAAGGAACUGGAUCAAAGAGAUAUUCAAUGGAAAAAAAGAACGAAAUUUUACCUCUUCCUCACAACAUAAGUAAGUUAAUUAUUACAGACGAAUUAUAGACCUAAAUGUGAAAGGCAAGACAACAUCGUUUCCAGAUGAUAAUAUAGGAGAUGUCCUCAUGACUUUGCAUUAGUGGAAAUGUUAUAAACCUACACCCAGAUGCCUGUGCUGAUACUGACAUGACUUUAAUAGUGUGGGAAUUUGCCCAGUCUGCACUCAAUGCCUGUCUCAUCCAACCAUCUUUAAUAAGUCAUCACCAUGUGGCUACCCUUUAAGGAGCAACUAGAACCACUAAGACCAAAAGAGAAUCCUGACGUCUGGUGAGGUGAAGGAGGAGGGCCCUAGUACCUUUAUUUGUGGGUAGAACUGGGCUUCUGUGGCCUGAAAAUCUAAGGACCAAACACCAACUUUACAAUAAAGAACCUGAACUCUGAUAGAAGGGAGACAAUGGUUACUUCUUUUCAUGGAUUCUAAAUUCUAUCUGCCAGUCACUUUUUGUGUGUGCAUUCAUUGAGGGUGUACAGAAUGGAAUUACAGAGGCAGAAAAAAAUGAGGUCUCUGCCAAAUUGAUAGUUUAAAAAACAUUUUAGUGGCCUACUUAACUGUAAUUUGUUUUAGUUUUAAACAAGAAAAACCUCAGCAUGUAAGCAAAGCAGACUGGACUUGAACAGAUAUGGAAUGCAAAGCACACAGGAGAGUCAUGGGGAUCCUGAAGGGGGAUUAGAAGUUGGACAACUUUUUAUGCAAUGAACAACACUGCAUUGGAGGCAGUGGAUUAAACAGUAGUGCAUAUCACUUGGCUGAAGUGACAGGAAUAAAGAACAGAAUGCAUCCACUCCUCCAGUCUCAUUAAGCUGCCUCUUUCUCCUGAAAUUGGAUUGGGAUUCCAGGACACCUCUCAACCUACAGGAAACACUGGAUCUAAAGCUGAAACAGGCUUUUAAAAAGAUUUGCACAAUACAUCCUUCAUAUUGUUAUUUUUAUCUCUGUAAGUUUGUAAUGGCCUCUAAAAAAGAAAGCUGUGUAACAAGAGCAUCAGAUGUUACUUUGCUCACUGUUGAAGGCGGUGAAGAACAGAAGAAAACUAGGAAGAAAACCAAGCUGGGAAGGGCAAUGAAGGAACAGGUUAGAGUUCAAAAGUAAAAGUACGUUCCACACAAAGGAAAGAUUUCAGAGAGAAGGCUUUGCUCUGUUGCCCAGGCUGGAAUGCAGUGGUGUGAUCAUGGCUCACGCAGCCUUGAAAUUCUGGGCUCAAAUGAUCUUCUUGCCUCAGCCUCUUGAGUAGCUGGAAUUACAGGUUGCUGGGGCAGCUCUGAUCCACAUACGACUUAGGGACCCAGGAUGCAGCUGCUUCAACAUCUUGUAGCCGUACUAUCUGGAAUACAUGGGCUGCCAGUUGUCAUGACUACUCUCCUAUGUUCAGCCCAAAAGCUAAGCACUUUAUUUCUUCAUAUAGCCCAUUGGCCAGAAUUAUUCAUAUGUCUCACUACAGGAUGGGCCGGGAGUGUACCUUCAUUAUGUAGGAAAAAAUAAAACAUAAUCGUGAGAAUUAUCCAAAUGUGACAUAGAGGCUCGAAAUGAGCACAUGGUGUUGGAAAAAUGGCACCCAUAGACUUGGUAGAUGCAGGAUUGCCACAAACCUACAACUGGUAAAAAACAAUAUCUACAAAAUACAACAAAGCAAAGUGCAAUAAAAUGAGAUACACUUGUACAAGACCAACAAGUGAAACCACAAAGAAGGGUACACAACCAACACAUAGCCUUCCUUUGUCCAAGCGAAAGACACACAUUCUAAGAAGACAGCACAUCAGCCUGGACAACAUAGUGAGAACCUAGCUCUACAAAAAAUAAAAUAUAUUAGAUGGGUGUGAUGGCACCUGCCUCUGGUUCUAGUUACUUGGAAGGCUGAAGCGGGAGGAUUGCUUGAGCCUAGGAGUUUGAGGCUGCAGUGAGCCAUGACUGUGCUACUGCACUCCAGUCUGGACAACAGAGUGAGAACCAGUCUCAAAAAAAAGGAAAAGAAAAAGAAAAAGAUAUCACUGUUGUUGUAUUGUUGUGUAUCCCUAAAGCAGAGUGAUCAUGAAGGUACAGUUUUUAUAGGAGAAAUAAUUUUAAACAUUAAUGUUUUCUUUUUUACCUUUCUGAGUAUAAGACUUUUACUCUAAAUCUGUCCUCAGUAUCUAUUUGUCUGAGGGAAGCUUAGUAAUUAAAGCAGAAGGUAUGCAAAGAGAAAGAGGAGGUAAUAUUCAGCUCUUGACAUGAGCUUGGUUUGUGCAAUAAGAAUAUCUCGCAAACCAGAUUAUUUUCUUGAGAAAGAAUUUUUCCAAAUUUCUUCAUGCUCCAUUUAGCAUAUCAAGGCCAAGUCUGUCCUUAAGGCUAAUCUUCAGUCACAAAAAAAAAAAGAUAUGAUAUAGAGUUAAUAGAAAAACCUACAUAUCUUGUCCUUGAAAAUAGGAUGAGAGAGAAGGAAAGGAGACAGCGAAAGGAAGUGUUGCAACCAGACAUAAAUGUCUUGGCUUUGCCCUUUCUGGGUUUAGACUACAAGACAGAGGGAGAUGUGUUAUUACAUCAGUGAUGAUACUCCUCAAGGUAAAGAAGAGGCAUUGUUCCCACUACCCUGGGGCAUAGUCACAGAAACAAACAGGCUUAGAGAGAGGAGCUCCUGCAGUUUGGUAUGCCCAUGCUAUUCUUCCUUCUUAGGUGGUGCAGAUUUUGAAUUGAAGCCAAUGGGUCUGCUAGGGGAGAUGCUGGGGGUGAACUGCCACAUAAAAGGACUAGACAGAUGGCCCAGCUAGAGAAACUGAGUCACAAAAAUGGAACCUUGGCCGGGCAUAGUGGCUCACACCUGUAAUCCCAGCACUUUGGGAGGCUGAGGCAGGCAGAUCACUUGAGCCUGGGGGUUUGACACCAGCUUGGGCAAUAUGGAAAAACCUUGCCUCUACAAAAAAUACAAAAAAAAAAAAAAAAAAGCCAGGUGUGGUGCUGUGCAUCUAUAGUCCUGGCUUCUCGGGACGCUGAGGUGGGAGAAUCACAUGAGCCAAAGGAAUUCGAGGCUGCAUUGAACCACUGCACUCCAUCCUGGGUGACAGAGCGAGACCCUGUCUUAAAAAAAAAAUUUAAAAAAGGAUGAAUCCUAAGUUAAAUCAGCCUUAGAAGAUGGCAUCCAAAGGCAGCAGGGCAAGGAUGACACCAGUGGGCAAAGAAUAUCCCAGAGACCAGGAGACCAAUAUCUAGCCAACACACACCCGAGGAGUAGCAUGUGUCUCUCCCUACCCAACCUCCCAUUCCUUGCCCCUAAACACAUGAGGUUUUUUUUUUGUUUUUUUUUGAGAUGGAGUUUUGCUCUUGUUACCCAGGCUGGAGUGCAAUGGUGCGAUCUCGGCUCACCGCAACCUCUGCCUCCCGGGUUCAAGCAAUUCUCCUGUCUUGGCCUCCCAAGUAGCUGGGAUUACAGGCACAUGCCACCAUGCCUGGCUAAGUUUUGUAUUUUUAGUAGAGAUGGGGUUUACCAUGUUGGCCAGGCUGGUCUCAAACUCCUGACCUCAAGUGAUUCGCCCGCCUGGCCUCCCAAAGUGCUGGGAUUACAGGCGUGAGCCACUGCGCCCGGCCCACAUGACAUUUUAAAGAAAGGAGCAGGAGAAACAAUAGAUUAUUAAGGGCAUAAACGUUUUUCCCCUGCAGAAACUAAGCUUUGCCUCAAGGGACAAUUUAAAUUUUGGGGUUGAACUAAAUUUAAUCUAGAUCAAAUUAUUUGGUUAAUUUAUCUUCCUACUAACCAGCAAAUUUAUAAUGAUCUUCAGGAAAAGUGUGAACUGUAACUACAUAAGUAUAGGCAAAUUAAAAGAACUAGCUAUUUUCAGCAGUGGUGUUCAUUAAAUUUUGUGACCUUACCACAGAGUAUUUCUGCUGUCAGCCUCUCGAAAUAAACGUAUUUUGCAAGGUAUGCUGCUGAUGCCGUGAAGGUAUCAAAUAAGCAGAUUUGCCCCCAGUGUAGGUACUGGUAACUCACUGACAGAUUUGUUACAUUGUUCCUCAUACAUAGAUUCAGUACCAUCUCUCCAUUCAUUCACUCUAACUAUCUGGUGAAUUAUCCGGGAUACACCAGUAAACAGGUACAGUUUUGCCUUCAAGUAGUAAAUAGUAUAGGGACUCCUCCUACUCCGAACACACCUGUGUUCAGUGUCUCUGUGUGUUUGUGUGUGUGCGUGCACGUGCAUGUGUGCACAUAUGUGUAGGACUGGCUGCAUCAUUCUCAGGGCCUAACCAAAACAGCAUGUUACCGGUACCAAAACAGAGAUACAGAUCAAUGGAACAGAACAGAGCCCUCAGAAAUAAUGCCGCUUAUCUACAACCAUCUGAUUUUUGACAAACCUGACAAAAACAAGCAAUGGGGAAAGGAUUCCCUGUUUAAUAAAUGGUGCUGGGAAAACUGGCUAGCCAUAUGUAGAAAGCUGAAACUGGAUCACUUCCUUACACUUAUACAAAAAUUAAUUCAAGAUGGAUUGAAGACUUCAAUGUUAGACCUAAAACCAUAAAAAUCCUAGAAGAAAACCUAGGCAAUACCAUUCAGGACAUAGGCAUGGGCAAGGACUUCAUGUCUAAAACACCAAA